rnacentral:snRNA from 1 species
GGAUGUGAGGGUGAUCUGGCUGCAAUCUCUGUCACCCCAUUGAUCGCCAAGGUUGAUUCGUCUGGUCUGGCUACGUGGUUGUCCCCUUCCUCCCUCACCUCUCCAUGUGUGUCCUUUCUGAAGCUGCGUGCUUGGUUGAAGAGGACAACCGUCUCUGUGAUAGGAGGACCAUUCUUUACCUCCAAACAAGCUCUCAGGGUCCAUUUGUAGGAGAACGUAGGGUAGUCAAGAUCCUAAGACUCCAGACACAUCCAAAUGAGGUGCUGCUUGUGGCAGUGUGCCUUUCUUU